rnacentral:lncRNA from 1 species
ACGGGACUGCUCCGGCUGGCGCCUGGCCUGCGUUCAUGGAAUACGCGUUUAGGAAAAUCUGGGAAAUACUGGAGAUCAAAGCUACCUUCUAAAAAACAGCACUGGGAGGAUGCCUGAAGAUCGGAGAAAAAGGCUGAUUGAGGUUGAAGUAUGUCUCAGCAGUAGACUCGGCUUGAUUGGCAUCUAGGACGCCCUCAGUUGUGUCCCGCACACCAUAGGAAAAAUAGAAGUGACACCCA